GACGAACGCUGGCGGCGUGCUUAACACAUGCAAGUCGAACGGAAAGGCCCUGCUUUUGUGGGGUGCUCGAGUGGCGAACGGGUGAGUAACACGUGAGUAACCUGCCCUUGACUUUGGGAUAACUUCAGGAAACUGGGGCUAAUACCGGAUAGGAGCUCCUGCUGCAUGGUGGGGGUUGGAAAGGUUCGGCGGUUGGGGAUGGACUCGCGGCUUAUCAGCUUGUUGGUGGGGUAGUGGCCUACCAAGGCUUUGACGGGUAGCCGGCCUGAGAGGGUGACCGGCCACAUUGGGACUGAGAUACGGCCCAGACUCCUACGGGAGGCAGCAGUGGGGAAUAGUGCACAAUGGGCGGAAGCCUGAUGCAGCAACGCCGCGUGCGGGAUGACGGCCGUCGGGUUGUAAACCGCUUUCGCCUGUGACGAAGCGUGAGUGACGGUAAUGGGUAAAGAAGCACCGGCUAACUACGUG
rnacentral:rRNA from 1 species